CCUACCUUGCAGAGCCCUGAAACUGAAGAAGAACAAGGUGUUUUUCAUCUGUUGGAAGAACUUGAAAAUGCUGCUCUCCAGCCUUCUGGAGGUGGUCCUGGCUUCACUGUGGCUAGGAUCCAGUAUUGCCCAGAGUGUAACUCAAAACCAACCAGCAAUGUCAGUGCAGGAGAAGAAAGCUGUGACCCUGGACUGCUCAUAUGACACCAGGGAUACAACUUACAGCCUCUUCUGGUACAAGCAGCUGAGCAGUGGGGCAAUGAUUUUCCUUAUUCGUCAGGACUCCUAUAACCAGAAAAAUGCCACAGAAGGUCGCUACUCAUUGAAUUUUCAGAAACUAAGCCAUUCCAUCAACCUUGUCAUCUCACCUUCACAGCUGGAGGACUCUGCAGUGUAUUUCUGUGCCCUGGGUGAGCCCACAGUGAGAGGUGUGUAG